rfam:Canis lupus familiaris chromosome 16, whole genome shotgun sequence.
CGGAGGAUCAGCCCCAGUGGCGGGGCCAGCUCUGGAGCCCUGGAGUCAGCCCCCGCAGUAGCUCCAGUGCUCUCCGUCUGCAGGGCCUGGAGGCUCCGGGGCGGG